UACGUAGGGGGCAAGCGUUGUCCGGAAUCAUUGGGCGUAAAGCGCGUGUAGGCGGUUUCGUAAGUCUGCUGUGAAAGUCGGAGGCUCAACCUUCGAAAGCCGGUGGAUACUGUGAGACUUGAGUACGGAAGAGGAGAGUGGAAUUCCUGGUGUAGCGGUGAAAUGCGCAGAUAUCAGGAAGAACACCCGUGGCGAAGGCGGCUCUCUGGGACGGUACUGACGCUGAGACGCGAAAGCGUGGGGAGCGAACAGG
rnacentral:rRNA from 1 species